CGAAGAAGGAGAAAAUUCUUUUCUGUUCGACCUUUCAAGGAAGCAGUGCGCGACGUGUCUAAUAAUUUAAAAUUUUUGAUAAUAUUCGAAAGCUAUAAAAGUAACUAUAACUAAUAGUACGGUCAGUGCUAACUACGAAAAGUUAGUCCGUACGUACAACAGUGUGUGCCAACGAAAAACCG